GGAAGACCUGGUAUUGUUUUUGUUUUGGUGUUUUGGGCUUACUUAUUGCUUUUGCUUUUAAAAAUCCCUUUGAGAAAGUUGUUUUCUUUCAUUUCUUCUUCUUCAACCAGCAGACGCUAGAGAGAGAAGAGAGAGAGAGAAACUCACUUUUUUCAAAGGGAAAAGCAAAAGCAAUUCAAAGCCUCAACCUUUAACAAAAACAAACGCCUACUUCUCAUCUUUUUCUCAUUUCCAAAGCUUUUUUUUUCUCUAAGGUUUUUGCUUCUUCUUCUCCUUUUUCUUGUGGGAAAUUAUGGCUGAUGUUUUGAGCCAGGCUAAUCUGUUUUCUUCUUCUUCCUCUUCAUCUUUUAAUGUUUACAAAAACCAUCGGAAAAAUAGCUCUUGCAGGCUAAAAGGGUUCCCCGGGAAAGUGAAUCAUCAGGCUUUGAGAUUACAAACGACAUCGCUUGGCAGUGAUUUUCAUGGAAAGAGGGUUGUUCUUCAAGAAAAUAUAGGGAAACCCAAAAGAGGGAUUUAUCUUCAAAGGUCAAUUAGGGCUCAGGUUGGUCAAGAUCUGAUUUGGAUUUCUUCAUAUCUUUUUUGAAAGUUCCUUUUUUCCCCAAAUUGAACGAAAUUUUUUUACUUUUUGUUAUUUUUAUUUGGGGUUCGAAUUUGUAAUUUCCCCCUUAUUUAUUUAUAAGGGAUAUUGCUAAGAAAUCUCAAGAUUUAGUUUUAGCAGAAAUUUUUUUGUGGUUUCUUUUUCAAUUUUUAUUUAUUUGCAGUGUGGUAGUUUUCUAUAGAAUUUAUGGAUUUUUGUUCAUAAGGAAAGAAUUAUGUGAAUUUUCUGAUGAUUUUUCCCCUUUGAUGGUAUUAGCUUACUGGCCUUAGACUCAAGAAUGCUCCAACAUGGUGGGAGAAGGGAUUGCAACCCAACAUGAGGGAGGUGACCUCUGCUCAAGACCUUGUGGACUCCCUCUUGGACGCUGGCGAUAAACUUGUCAUUGUUGAUUUCUUCUCCCCUGGUUGUGGUGGCUGCAAGGCUCUCCAUCCCAAGAUAUGUCAAUUAGCAGAGAUGAACCCAGAUGUGCAGUUUCUUCAGGUGAAUUAUGAGGAUCACAAAUCCAUGUGUUAUAGCCUCAAUGUCCAUGUGCUUCCCUUCUUCAGGUUUUACCGAGGGGCUGAAGGCCGGGUAUGCAGCUUUAGCUGCACUAAUGCCACGGUUAGUUUUGCCUUUCCUUUUUAGUUCUUGCACAGAUUUAGUUAUUGCUAUUACUAUAUACUGAAUGAAAUUCCUAGUUUUGUUGCUUGCUUUUGUUGAUUGGCAGCUUCUAUGAUUGUACGACUUUCUUGAUUGAUUUUUGAUUCCCUCAAUAUGCAGCCUUUUAGACUCUUUCUCUAUCAAUGUUUCUCUCUUCAGAGUGUUUGCUUUUGUUUGUUUCCAAGAUCCAAGAAUUAUGACCCACCUUAAUACCAUUGUAUUCAAUCUUAGCAUUAAAUAGCAUAUUAGUCAGAAUUGAUCUAGUUUGUUGCUUAGAAUCUAAAAUGUUGUUUAUAUGUAGUUGCUGCAUUAAUUUCGUGUAUGGAUCUGUUAUCCCCAUAUUUUUUUAGAGUGGUUGUUCGUUUCUAUAAUAUUUGACAGUUUAUUUCAACUAAAUGCUGUUUCUAUUCCAGAUCAAGAAAUUUAAAGAUGCACUGGCCAAGCACUCCCCAGACCGAUGCAGCCUCGGGCCAACAAAAGGGCUGGAGGAAAAAGAGCUUGUUGCUUUGGCUUCCAACAAAGAUCUCAACUUCACACGUACGCCGAAACCAGACCAGCCAACAACGCCAGCUCCUGUUGAGGAAGAGAUAGUACCAGCACUUCCCCAAUCUCAUUUGAUUCCAACCCUACCUCUACACCUACCUCUACCUCUUACACUUGCCGCAACAAGUCUGAAAUCUGGUCAAGACUCGGAGGAGAAAACCUUGGUCGGAUCCGGGAGAUGAUGGGUCAGCGUUCACCGACUCCUCUCUACAUACCUUGUACAGUUCUUGUUUGUGUCAUGUAACAUCCAUGUUACGAAGUAUUCAAAGUAGUAAAGUCUAUAUGUGUGUUCAUACAGAAUUGCAGGCGUUUGGAUUUUAGUUUUUUUGGAUCCCAGCCUGCCUGCCUGCUUGUACGAGGAGUCUAUAGGAUGUAAAAGCCACAACAUGAGUUGUUUGUAUCGGAUCUGUAGCAUUAAAUUAUUAUUUGCUGCAUUAGUAGUAUUAUGUUUCUCUUUCUUCCUUUUAUUGUGAUGGCUUUUUGCACUCGUAUGUGAUAUUAUGCUGUGAUAUUAUGCUGUGAGCACUCAAGUAAUUGGUAUCUUAAAUCUGAUGCAGUUAAUUGUGGAAAUUACUCUAUUUUCUGACUUGGUGUUGAAAAUGAAAUUACAAUGCCUGCAAGGGUUUUUCUUGAGGGUACAAGAAAUGUCUGGUGGCUCUAUCUGUGGUCACACAAAACCGUUGGCUUUUAUCAGAACAAAAGAUCUUGCAGAAGAAAGUAGGGUUUCAAUGUCCCUUCCUAAUGCGCUGGACCACAUGACAAGAUGCCUGAAAGAUUAGAUAGAAAGAAUCUGUUAAAGGGAAAAGAACGUCACGGAUAAGGUUGGGUGCGUUUGAAGAUGAAUGAACGUGGCCUUGCUUUCUUUACACACUGUGGGGUAAUCCAUUAACAAAAAUUGACACAUUCGAAGCCAUAUUUUUGUUUUUUCUUCCAACAAGUAGCUAAGAAUGAUUUCAAAACCUUUGCUCUUCUUGUCUAUCAACAUCUGUCUUUCAGUAUUUGGAGCACUAAUAAUGGAGUUCUCUUGCGUGUCAAUGAUUGACACAAGUAGGCAUACAAAAAUCACAAGCUCCUCUCUUCUGUUCCCAUGUGUCCAUAGCUUUUAUGUUCCAUUGGGCAGGAUUGACGCCAAUUUUACGGAUUUCAGAUCAUAAAGCCCCUUUUAUCUCUUCCCACGUGUCCUCCUCCAUCAAGAAUAUCCAUCUUCUCCUUGUUUGGCUGCCUUGCUACC
rnacentral:misc_RNA from 1 species